GAUGAACGCUGGCGGCGUGCAUAACACAUUCAAGUCGAACGGAGUUAACGGAGAGCUUGCUUGAAGUUAACUUAGUGGCGGACGGGUGAGUAACGCGUGAGCAACCUGCCCUUGUGUGGGGGAUAACGUUUGGAAACGAACGCUAAUACCGCAUAACGUAACCGGAUUGCAUGUUCUGGAUACCAAAGAUUUAUUGCGCAAGGAUGGGCUCGCGUUGGAUUAGAUAGUUGGUGGGUAACGGCCUACCAAGUCGACGAUCCAUAGCCGGACUGAGAGGGUGAACGGCCACAUUGGGACUGAGACACGGCCCAAAACUCCUACGGGGAGGCAGCAGUGGGGAAUAUUGCACAAUGGGGGAAACCCUGAUGCAGCGACGCCGCGUGAGUGAAGAAGUAAUUCGGUUAUGUAAAGACUCUAUCAGCAAGGAAGAAAAAGAAUAGACGGUAACUUGACUAAGAAAGACCCCGGCCGUAACUAACGU
rnacentral:rRNA from 1 species